UUCCUGUCGGACUGCCGCUCGGACACGCUCAGGGUCGUGAAGGCGCACGCCGAUGGCUCCAUCCGCGGCGCCAAGGUCUACGACAAGUUCCAGUUCGAGAGGAUCGGCUUCUUCUCCGUCGACCCCGACACCAACGCUGACAAUAUCGUGUUCAACAGGACUGUUUCUCUCAAGGAAGAUACUGGAAAAUAGAAUCAAUUGUAUAUAUGUAUUUAAUACAGUUUAUACACUUUAUACAAUAAACAGUUUUUAUUUAUUAUCAAAA